rnacentral:rRNA from 1 species
UACGAAGGGGGCGAGCGUUGUUCGGAUUUACUGGGCGUAAAGGGCGCGCAGGCGGCGAUUCAAGUCAGGCGUGAAAGCCCCGGGCUCAACCUGGGAACUGCGUCUGGGACUGGUUGCUAGAGAUCGGAGAGGAGCGUGGAAUUCCCAGUGUAGAGGUGAAAUUCGUAGAUAUUGGAAGAACACCGGUGGCGAAGGCGGCGCUCUGGACCGAGACUGACGCUGAGGCGCGAAAGCGUGGGAGCAACAGG